rnacentral:lncRNA from 1 species
GCUUGAAACCACACAUCGUCGAGGAGGUUUCCAUUUCAUCGGCAUAGACAGAAACUUGGCGGCAAGACCGCCCUCUAACCAUCCACUGUUCUCUUUUUUUGUUUGUGUGACUAAUCGACUGUUCUAUAAUGAACGCUGACAUUAACAUUUUAACAAUUAUGUAUCUUGUAGGAUCACCGGGACAAUAUUGACUGCCUCACUCCACCAGAAAAAUGUUCCUCCAAUCUGUGAAACAAAACAACCCAUC